rnacentral:rRNA from 1 species
UACAGAGACUGCGAGCGUUAUUCGGAUUCACUGGGCGUAAAGGGUGCGCAGGCGGCCAGGUGUGUGGGGCGUGAAAGCCCGGGGCUCAACCCCGGAAUUGCACCUCAAACUACAUGGCUAGAGUACUGGAGAGGGAGACGGAAUUCACGGUGUAGCAGUGAAAUGCGUAGAUAUCGUGAGGAACACCAGAGGCGAAGGCGGCUACCUGGACAAUUGCUGACGCUCAGGCACGAAAGCGUGGGGAGCAAAAGGG